UCACCUUUCAGCCUUGGCGCUCUAUCUCACGCAGUGACACAAACAUAGGGCAGCUACUCUUCCUCCAACGCAGCGACCGCAGCACUGCCUUGGCGUCCACCUCCUCGGCAACUUCGCAUCGACAGUGUUUAUGCCCUUGACCGACACCAAAAAUAGAAGUUGAGAUUACAGAUUUGCAGUCUUACGCAAUGGCCACUGAUAACUCGGUGAAAGCACAAAUGGA
rnacentral:lncRNA from 1 species